GAUAACAGCGUAAUUUUUUUUUAGAGUUCUUAUCGACAAAAAAGAUUGCGACCUCGAUGUUGGAUUAAGAAUUAUUUUUAGGUGUAGAAGUUUAAAGUUUAGGUCUGUUCGACCUUUGAAUUCUUACAUGAUCUGAGUUCAAACCGGCGUAAGCCAGGUU
rnacentral:ncRNA from 1 species